rnacentral:lncRNA from 1 species
UUCCUCUUCCUGCUCUGGCCCCCUGCCCCAUUGUCUCCUCCCUGCAGGCCGCUGCGCCCCCAUGAAGAGCAUCUCCAGCAGCCUCAAAGAGACUAUGAACCCACACGACAUUGUGCAGGAUGCCAUCCACAACUUCUCACCUGCCUACCAGCAGUACACGCAGCAGUCCACUCUGGAGCCUGGGCCCACCUGGCGUGGUGGCACCCAUAGCCUUUCCCGGUCCCACAGCCUUAGUGGUGCACGUGACAAUGAAAAGACUCUGUUGCUCAGCUCUGAUGAUGAGUUCUAGGUGUGGGCACUGUUGGGGAAGGAGAGGUGCCUCCUCCAGUCCCCAGCCAGGCUGGGGAGCAUCCAGCAACUGGCAUGGCUGCUGCCCUUUUAUUUAUUGGACCAGAAACUCGCAUAUCACUUCCAGAGGAACAGGCCUCAGGAAUAUUUCUACCUGGCCAACCCUACACUACCUGGGGCAGGAGCAGAGGGCAGUGGCUGUAGCUGUCAAAUCUCUGCUACCCAUCCUGUACUGUGUGUUGGCCAGAAGCUGCAUCCUAAGCCCCCUCCCCAACAGGAUAUCUGCCGAGCUGACUGGCCCAACCCACCCUACACCGUGCAAUAUCCAGACCCAACUUGGUCAUUUCCCACCUGCCUGCUUCUCCCUGUUCACCCUUGUCCAAUGUGAGUUUUGUCACAUUCUGGGCAGGUAGAGAUGCGAAUGCUCUGUGGAGCUUCCCCCUCUCCCAACCUAGGCCUGUCUGGCAUGCUUCGAGGAUCAGAGCCAGACCCCAGGAGCCUCAGGGCCCACCUAGGGAAGGAUGC